UGGUUGUCGUCAGCUCGUGUCGUGAGAUGUGGUUAGUCCGCACGAGCGCAACCCUCGACCUUAGUUGCCAGCAUUCAGUUGGGCACUCUAAGGUGACUGCCGGCUAAAAGUCGGAGGAAGGUGGGGAUGACGUCAAAUCAUCAUGCCCUUAUGACCUGGGCUACACACGUGCUACAAUGGGCGGUACAAAGGGUCGCGAACCCGCGAGGGGGAGCCAAUCCCAAAAAGCCGCUCUCAGUUCGGAUUGCAGGCUGCAACUCGCCUGCAUGAAGCCGGAAUCGCUAGUAAUCGCGGAUCAGCAUGCCGCGGUGAAUACGUUCCCGGGCCUU
rnacentral:rRNA from 1 species